rnacentral:rRNA from 1 species
UAGGGAAUAUUGGACAAUGGGUGAGAGCCUGAUCCAGCCAUGCCGCGUGCAGGAAGAAGGCGUUAUGCGUUGUAAACUGCUUUUUGCCAGGGGAUAAAAAGACCGUGCGCGGUUAAUUGAAGGUACCUGGUGAAUAAGCCACGGCUAACUACGUGCCAGCAGCCGCGGUAAUACGUAGGUGGCAAGCGUUGUCCGGAUUUAUUGGGUUUAAAGGGUGCGUAGGUGGCCCUGUAAGUCAGUGGUGAAAUAUCUCAGCUUAACUGAGAGGGUGCCAUUGAUACUGCAGGGCUUGAGUACAGAUGAGGUAGGCGGAAUUGACGGUGUAGCGGUGAAAUGCAUAGAUAUCGGGAGGAACACCUGUGGCGAAGGCGGCCACCUGGUUGGAUACUGACGCUGAGACGCGAAAGCGUGGGGAGCGAAACAGGAUUAGAUACCCGUGUAGUCCCUGAGCGGGCUGGCAAGGCGCAU